rnacentral:tRNA from 1 species
GGGGGUGUGGCUCAGUGGCAGAGUGCUUGCCUAGCAUGGAUCUGGAGAUUCAAUUCCCACCACCACCA